rnacentral:lncRNA from 1 species
AAUAUACUUAUAGAUUAUCGGUGAUCAUCUCAACGAGAUUGGUUUUCUCGCUUGAGCCGGGACGGCGAAAGCGAGAAAGGCAAUCGAGUUGAGAUGAACAAUGAUAAUCUUUUUAUCGCUAUUUUACCUAUGACGACGUUGUCAAUUUCAUGUCAAUUUCGUUAGCAACACCACGUGCAUGCUUAGUUUCUAGCGAUAAUUUUCC